rnacentral:rRNA from 1 species
UACAGAGGUCUCAAGCGUUGUUCGGAUUCAUUGGGCGUAAAGGGUGUGUAGGUGGCGCGCUAAGUCGGGUGUGAAAUUUCGGAGCUUAACUCCGAAACUGCAUUCGAUACUGGCGUGCUUGAGGACCGGAGAGGAGACUGGAAUUCAUGGUGUAGCAGUGAAAUGCGUAGAGAUCAUGAGGAAGACCAGUGGCGAAGGCGGGUCUCUGGACAGUUCCUGACACUGAGGCACGAAAGCGUGGGUAGCAAACAGG